AGAGGGGGGAUGACAGAGUGGGGGAGAGGGGGGAUGACAGAGUGGGGGAGAGAGGGGAUGACAGAGUGGGGGAGAGGGGGGAUGACAGAGUGGGGGAGAGGGUGGAUGACAGAGUGGGGGAGAGGGGGAUGACAGAGUGGGGGAGAGGGGGGAUGACAGAGUGGGGGAGAGGGGGACAGAUACACAACUAUCCACAUAUCCACAGACCACUGAUCACAGAAAUUAUUAUUCAUUCUGUUGGAAACAACAAGGUUACUAACCUGAGAACAGAGAGUCCCAGGUGACUGUAAAACAACAAGGUUACUAACCUGAGAACAGAGAGUCGAGGGUGACUGUAAAACAACAAGGUUACUAACCUGAGAACAGAGAGUCCCAGGUGACUGUAAAACAACAAGGUUACUAACCUGAGAACAGAGAGUCCCAGGUGACUGUAAAACAACAAGGUUACUAACCUGAGAACAGAGAGUCGAGGGUGACUGUAAAACAACAAGGUUACUAACCUGAGAACAGAGAGUCCCAGGUGACUGUAAAACAACAAGGUUACUAACCUGAGAACAGAGAGUCCCAGGUGACUGUAAAACAACAAGGUUACUAACCUGAGAACAGAGAGUCCCAG